rnacentral:piRNA from 1 species
UAAAGGCACAAACCAUCACACCUGGACC